rnacentral:ncRNA from 1 species
CGUCUUUGGGGCAGGGUGAAAUUCCCUACCGAUGGUAAAGUCCAUGACCCUCAUAUGAGGCUGAACUGGUGAAAUUCCAGUACCGACGGUUAGAGUCCGGAUGGGAAAAGAC